rnacentral:rRNA from 1 species
AUGUACAUCCAGUUGAUAGGACUGGGUGGACUUCUCAAGACACCUAGCAUCAAAAUUAGACGUGUACUCUGCCUGGCCAUCGCUAAUUCAUAUGAUGCAGAGCGGGAUGCCUUUAUCAUCAAUGGGAGACCAUGUAGGAUCACACUAGAAGAUGUAGCGCAUAUAACAGGCAUGCCCUGCCAUGGGAAGAAGCACGUCCCUUCAAAUCUUGAUGAUAAUAUGGAGUUGUGGAAGAAACUGAAAGACCGUAAUGACACCAAAAAUAACUUUCAAAGGAUUGCUAGCCUAGAUGAAAGUCGACAGCACACCAAAUUUUGUCAGGCCAUUUGUCUUGUACACCAUAGGCAAAUAUGCAUGCCGAACAAAAGAGGAGUAUGUGGAUAA